rnacentral:rRNA from 1 species
ACGGAAGGCAGCAGUGGGGGAUAUUGCACAAUGGGGGAAACCCUGAUGCAGCGACGCCGCGUGAGUGAAGAAGUAUUUCGGUAUGUAAAGCUCUAUCAGCAGGGAAGAAAAAUGACGGUACCUGACUAAGAAGCACCGGCUAAAUACGUGCCAGCAGCCGCGGUAAUACGUAUGGUGCAAGCGUUAUCCGGAUUUACUGGGUGUAAAGGGAGCGCAGGCGGUACGGCAAGUCUGAUGUGAAAGCCCGGGGCUCAACCCCGGUACUGCAUUGGAAACUGUCGAACUAGAGUGUCGGAGGGGUAAGUGGAAUUCCUAGUGUAGCGGUGAAAUGCGUAGAUAUUAGGAGGAACACCAGUGGCGAAGGCGGCUUACUGGAAGAUCACUGACGCUGAGGCUCGAAAGCGUGGGGAGCAAACAGGAUUAGAUACCCUGGUA